AAAGAUUUAGUUAAUUAAUAACAUCAAAAUGUCAAAUUGAAAUAAACAAAGUUAAUCUUUA
rnacentral:tRNA from 1 species